GGCCCGAUGGUCUAGUAGUAUGAUUCCUUGUUAGGGUUGUUGCGGGGUAUUAAUUGCUUACGUAAUAGCUGUCGAGGAGGUCCCGGGUUCAAUUCCCGGUUGGGCCC